CACGUAGGGUGCAAGCGUUGUCCGGAAUCAUUGGGCGUAAAGAGCUCGUAGGCGGCUUAGUAAGUCGGGUGUGAAACCUCCAGGCUCAACCUGGAGACGCCACCCGAUACUGCUAUAGCUAGAGUCCAGUAGGGGAGUGCGGAAUUCCCGGUGUAGCGGUGAAAUGCGCAGAUAUCAGGAAGAACACCCGUGGCGAAGGCGGUUCUCUGGGACGGUACUGACGCUGAGACGCGAAAGCGUGGGGAGCGAACAGG
rnacentral:rRNA from 1 species